GAUGAACGCUAGCGACAGGCCUAACACAUGCAAGUCGAGGGGCAGCACAAGGAGCAAUCUGAGGUGGCGACCGGCAAACGGGUGAGUAACGCGUAUGCAACCUACCCUGUACAGGGGGAUAACCCGGAGAAAUUCGGACUAAUAUCCCGUAAUAAUAUCCGGAGGCAUCUUUGGAUAUUUAAAGUUCCGACGGUACGGGAUGGGCAUGCGUAACAUUAACUGGUUGGUAAGGUAACGGCUUACCAAGGCUAUGAUGUUUAGGGUCCUGAGAGGGUGGUCCCCCACACUGGUACUGAGACACGGACCAGACUCCUACGGGAGGCAGCAGUGAGGAAUAUUGGUCAAUGGGCGAAGCCUGAACCAGCCAUGCCGCGUGCAGGAUGACGGCCCUACGGGUUGUAAACUGCCUUUUCCCCGGGGCGAACUAACCCCCUCGCGAGGGGGAGUGGCCGGUACCGGGGGAAGUAAGGGAGUCGGCGUAACGUCCGUCGCCAGCAGCCGCGGUAAGUAGUGUGUGUA
rnacentral:rRNA from 1 species